rnacentral:siRNA from 1 species
UGGAGAUGUCCUACUUGUGGA